CACAGCUACCCUCCUCUUUAGGGAGAGGGGAACCCCUGGGUGUUAGUUUCCUCUCGUUUUCGUGUGUGGCUUGCUUCAGGCAAAAGAGCAGAGAGGGCCCAGCAGACCUGGUGGAGGGUGAGCGGCCUGGUGCUGUCCAGCACAGCCUCGUGGAAUCAGAGGUGCCCAGCAUGACUUAUUGUAGUAAUUAAGCUGAAUGUGAUUCUUUUAAUGAGAGAAGUUGAUGUUUAGAAGUUGCCAACCCGUUUGCUCCUCUCCUGCAGCAUCAGAUCCUGCUGAGAGCCCAGCGAAGGGGAAUGCAGAAACACACCCAUAACAGCGCAGGUCACAGCGGGUGGCAGGCGGCGAGAUGGUUCAACAGAUUUCUGCAGGACCUGACGUGGAUGGAAGCCGGUCCAGGCGGCAGAGUAGGGGAAGCACAGCCUUGGACGGAACGGGAGACUGGGCGUGGCUGCUUCCCAGGAAUCAACCUGGGAAUAAAGCCCGGAACACUUGGUUAUUGCUUCAAGACAGAAUGCUGUUGAUACGAUUCCCCACAAUGAAAAGGUAAAGUGAUAACUGAUGGAAGUAGGGUGAGAGAAGGAGAGCCAGGAGGGCAGAGGAAGACUGCUUUACUGCCACCCUGAUGUACAUGGUGGAAAGCCAAGAGAUACCUUUAAUGUCGGUGGAAGAAAUGGAAAAUAUCAUCUAAAUUUGCAAAGGGGGAAUGGACCUGCAACCGUGCACCCUGAGGGCUGUGAUCUUAUCGGGAUUGGGUGAGCUCACAGGCUCGUGGCAGGGAUGGAGGGAACGGGGAACGGAGGCAGCCGGCUGCCAUACCUGGGUCUUCUCGGGGCCUGGACCUGCCGCACUUCUCUGGGGAGGGGCUUUCACAGUCUCCUCGUCCGCCCCGUUGGAACAUCUCCAACGACUCCCCUUUCCUUAAAAGAG
rnacentral:lncRNA from 1 species